CACGUAGGGCGCGAGCGUUGUCCGGAAUUAUUGGGCGUAAAGAGCUCGUAGGCGGCCUGUUGCGUCCGCUGUGAAAGCCCGGGGCUUAACCCCGGGUCGGCAGUGGAUACGGGCAGGCUAGAGGUAGGUAGGGGAGAAUGGAAUUCCCGGUGUAGCGGUGAAAUGCGCAGAUAUCGGGAGGAACACCGGUGGCGAAGGCGGAUCUCUGGGCCGAUACUGACGCUGAGGAGCGAAAGCGUGGGGAGCGAACAGG
rnacentral:rRNA from 1 species